rnacentral:rRNA from 1 species
UGCGUAGGUGGUAUCGUAUGUCGGAUGUGAAAGCCCAUGGCUCAACUGUGGAAUUGCAUUCGAAACUGCGGAACUAGAGUACAGGAGGGGAGAGCGGAAUUCUUGGUGUAGCGGUGAAAUGCGUUGAUAUCAAGAAGAACACCGGCGGCGAAGGCGGCUCUCUGGAAUGUUACUGACACUGAGGCACGAAAGCUGGGGGAGCGAACAGGAUUAGAUACCCUGGUAGUCC